rnacentral:misc_RNA from 1 species
GACGAACCGUCCAAACGUUAUUCGGUAUCACUGGGCUUAAAGAGUUCGUAGGCGGCCGAGCAGGUCAGGUGUGAAAUCCCACAGCUCAACUGUGGAACUGCGCUUGAAACCGCUCGGCUUGAGGGAGAUAGAGGUGAGUGGAACAGAUGGUGGAGCGGUGAAAUGCGUUGAUAUCAUCUGGAACACCGGUGGCGAAAGCGGCUCACUGGAUCUUUUCUGACGCUGAGGAACGAAAGCUAGGGUAGCGAACGGG